rnacentral:tRNA from 1 species
GACCGCGUGGCCGAGUGGAUAAGGUUUCGGACUUCGGAUCCGUAGUACGCAGGUUCGAAUCCUGCCGCGGUCU